GUAGGUGGCAAGCGUUGUCCGGAAUUAUUGGGCGUAAAGCGCGCGCAGGCGGUCCUUUAAGUCUGAUGUGAAAGCCCACGGGCUCAACCGUGGAGGGUCAUUGGAAACUGGGGGACUUGAGUACAGAAGAGGAAAGCGGAAUUCCAAGUGUAGCGGUGAAAUGCGUAGAGAUUUGGAGGAACACCAGUGGCGAAGGCGGCUUUCUGGUCUGUAACUGACGCUGAGGCGCGAAAGCGUGGGGAGCAAACAGGAUUAGAUACCCUGGUAGUCCACGCCGUAAACGAUGAGUGCUAAGUGUUAGGGGGUUUCCGCCCCUUAGUGCUGCAGCUAACGCAUUAAGCACUCUGCCUGGGGAGUACGGCCGCAAAGGCUG
rnacentral:rRNA from 1 species